AACACUUGGUCACUGACGAUUCCACCUCUGUUGUUUUCUUUUUAGGUAUUUACAAAAUAUAUUUCUAACUGUGAGAAGAGUCACUACGUCUUUGUCAUUCACAAAUUGAUCCAACACUUUCGUUAUCCUCGUAUAUUUCAUCCCGGCAUAAUCUCUUUAUCCGAGCUGCAGAGGAGAGAGUGCAAUUUGACUCCAAAUUAUGAGGACAGUCCCCAAAACACUCCUACGUGGACCAGAAAAGAUGGCAGGCUAGAGACAUCCAAAGAAAGCGAGGACCGAUCCGAGUCUCCCAGGGAGGGGCAUGACCUCUGGACUCCAGGAGCGCUAAUAUUGGCAGCAUCCAAACGUCCUUAAAGAAGGCCAUUAAGUUAGCUAAGCACAUUUACCUGGAACUUAAAUCGUGAUUCCCUUAUAUUUGAAUUUGAGAUUCUGAGAACAUGUUCCACGAGUAAACACCUUUCUCACUCUCAAAGCGCCAACUGGAAAUUUCACUCAACGACAAGGAUGCAUAUAUGCCCCCUCUUCUAUAGAAAACAACCACUUGAUGGUCUGUUUCAGACUGACUCUCCUGUAUUUACAAAAAUAUUUUCUAACUGUGAGAAGAGUCACUACGUCUUUGUCAUUCACAAAUUGAUCCAACACUUUCGUUAUCCUCGUAUAUUUCAUCCCGGCAUAAUCUCUUUAUCCGAGCUGCAGAGGAGAGAGUGCAAUUUGACUCCAAAUUAUGAGGACAGUCCCCAAAACACUCCUACGUGGACCAGAAAAGAUGGCAGGCUAGAGACAUCCAAAGAAAGCGAGGACCGAUCCGAGUCUCCCAGGGAGGGGCAUGACCUCUGGACUCCAGGAGCGCUAAUAUUGGCAGCAUCCAAACGUCCUUAAAGAAGGCCAUUAAGUUAGCUAAGCACAUUUACCUGGAACUUAAAUCGUGAUUCCCUUAUAUUUGGUAAGUUGUUAAGACUACGUGAUGCCAAUGAGCUUUUAUUAUAGUCACCAUCAGCAUGUGCAGUUAGGAAGGCUGCCCCGUCUGUUCUCCACUGAAGUGCUUCUCAGCAGAAAUCCUCCACACCUUCUUCAAAAGUCUCUAAUGACAAGUUUACGUUUGGAGGCCUUCAGUCACCCACUUUCACCCUCUUUCUCAAAGCUCUCAGUUGACUGCCAACUAACGGUGUGUUUUCGCCAUGAAUCUUGAUCUUCUGGCAUGGGACAUUCUGAGAUUUGGUUACCAGCAAAUCUUGUGGCCUGGAAAGUUACAUAACUGAAGGCUUGAUUUUGGAUUUUGCUCUGAAGUUUAGUUUGUGUUCCACCCACAGUAAUUAACAUAACCCUCUUGAAAGCGGAAACCAGGUCUGUCUUAGCCUCUUUGGUUUGUCCUCUUUUGCUUACAUAGGGUGGGCAGUUAGAAGAGGGACUCAGCGAAUGUAUAGUCAGGGAUUCAUGCUCAGGAACUUCCCUGAGACUCAGAACACUCCACCUGUAACAACACCGCACCUGAGCAAGGUUUUGGUUGUGCCAUGCCUCGGGACAAGCAGGUAGCAUCCAUAGAAGCUCCCCUCCUACGUUUC
ensembl:lncRNA